ACACUAUUAGGUGGAUGGUUCGGCUCAACAACUGAAGAAGAAUGUGACAAGCUGCAGUAAGCUCUGGGUAGACGCACGUCGUUAUUGAUCCAGAGAUCUUCUAAUGUGACUUCACAAUAGAUCCGUAAGGAUCGGGAACACAGUGAAUUGAAACGUCUUAGUAACUGUAGGAAAAGAAAUCAAUAGAGAUACUGUGAGUAAGAGCGACUGAAAGCAGCAGAAGGCAAACUGAAUCCUUGGUAGCAAUAUUAAGGAGAUGUGGUGUAGUAGACUACAUUUUAAGUCCAAAAUUUCUAUCAAAACUUUUUUGGAAAAUUAGACCUUAGAGGGUGAUAGUCCCGUAUGAGAAAGAAAUUUUGGAUUGUUGUAGUAUCUCGAGUACUGCUCAUCGGAUAUUGAGCAGGAAUAUAGGAGUAUCAACUUCUAACUUUAAAUAUGAUGUUGAGUCCGAUAGCGCAUAGUACCGUGAGGGAACACUGAAAAGAACCCAUAACAGGGAUUGAAAAAAGCCUGAAACCUAAUAGUUAUAGUAAGGUAGGGUACUAAGGUAUUCUACCGUGCGUUUAGAAUAACGUGCCAGGGAGUUUUGGCGUGUGGUGAGGAUAAUUCUUUAAUAGAAGUAUUCGAAGCGAAAGCAAAUUCUCAGCAGUUUACGAGAGAGAAGGUAUGAAAAUGCCACGAAAUCACACGUCAUUGACCCGAAGCGGGUCGAUCUAAUCCGUAGUAAGGCGAAGUGAGGGUAAAACCUUGUGGAGGCCUGCAGAUGUGCUAUGUGCAAGUGCUUUUCUAACUGCGGAUUAGGGGUGAAAAGCCAAUCGAGAUCCGCGAUAGCUGGUUCCUGUCGAAGUUGGCCGCAGUCAAGCUCUAACCGAGAUAACAAGGGUGGUAGAGCUACGGAUUGAAAAUUUAGGUCUCGAAAGGGAUCGAUUUUCUGUCCAACUCCGAAUACUCUUGUAUCGUAGACGUUAGAAGACGUGGAUACGGGGUAAGCUUGUAUCCAGAGAAGGGAACAACCUAGACUAUAGUUAAGGUCCCAAAGUACCAACUAAGUGUUAACGGUUGAAGAGUGUUUAUACACAUAGACAGCGAGGAGGUUGGCUUAGAAGCAGCCAUCCUAUAAUAAGUGCGUAACAGCUUACUUGUCAAGUGUAUAAGCAUCGAAAAUGGACGGGGCUAAGUUGGUCACCGAUACUAUAGACUGUCGAAAGACAUGUGGUAGACAGGCGUACUGGUAGGGCAGAAACAUCCCUGAGAGGGGAUGCGGACCUGCAAAGUAAUGAAAAUCCUGGCGGUAGUAGGAACAAAGCAGAGUGAGAAUCUCUGUCACUGAAAGGGCAAGGGUUCCUUGACAAUGCAAAUCAGUCAAGGGUUAGUUGAUCCUAACGGAGUCCAUAACAUGGAACUCAGGAAAGGGAAACAGGUUAAUAUUCCUGUACUAUUAAAGUAUGCGUGGUAACACAAGUUAGAAUCUAGACAUUUGUGGCUAAGUUUACAUAAAUCAUCUUUUAUGCCAACUUUAUCAAAUCAAGCAAGUACUAUUACAGUGAGACCUUGAUUAAGAAAGGACGAGUAUGCCUUGUGCAUAUUUUACUGAUGCCAAAAGUCCGUGAAAAUAGAUUCUAAAAAAAUCUUUAAUAAUCAUACCCAGAACCAGCACUGGUGCCCCUAGGUGAGAAACCUAAAGUGUGAAGGAUAAAUCUAUUUAAGGGAAUUCGGCAAAAUGGCCCUGUGGCUUCGGUAUAAAGGGUCCCUAUGGUUGUGUAUGAAUUUAUGCAACUCGAGGGUUCAAAGGUCAGGGGGGUCCGACUGUUUAACAAAAACGUAGCUUUCUGCUAGACUGUAAAGUUGUGUACAGAAGGUGACGUCUGCUCAGUGCCCGUACUUGAACUUCCUAUACAAGGGAAUUAAGAGCGGGUAAACAGCGGGAGUAACUAUAACUCUCUUAAGGUAGCGUAAUACCUUGUCGUUUGAUUGACGACUCGCACGAAUGGCGUAACGAGAUCCCCACUGUCCCUAGAUAGAUUCCUCCGAACACUCUUUCCUGGUGCAAAGGCCAGGGAUUUCCAGUGGGACGUGAAGACCCCGUGAAACUUUACUGUAGCCUGUAGUUGCGAUGUGAGUUUUGUUGUGUAGCGUAGAUGGUAGUUUUACAGUCGCAAGACGAAUAAAACAAAAAUGAAACACCAUUCUUCAAAAUUUACGUUGCUUACUAAUUUAUUAGGACAUCUAUAGGUGGACAGUUUGGCUGGGGUGGCACCCUGCUGAAAAGAUAUCAGUAGGGCCCUAUGGUUAGCUCAACUCGGUCAGAAAUCGAGUGUAGAGUGCAAGGGCAAAAGCUAGCCUGAUUGGUCGCUUAAUAAUAUGGCAACCAAAAACGAAAGUUUGGCCUAGCGAACUCCUAUGCCUUCUUGAUGGGGGCUAGGAAUGACAAAAAAGUUACUCCGGGGAUAACAGAGUUGUCGCGCCCGAGAGCUCAAAUCGACGGCGCGGCUUGCUACAUCGCUGUCGGCUCUUCCUAUCCUGGC
rnacentral:rRNA from 1 species